UGUUGACAUUAUAGUUGCGCAGGCACUUUGGUGAACCUCUGGCCAAUUGCACGUCCCAGUGACUGCGACUUUGCAUUCGGAUGUCUGCCCUAUUAAUGUCACUUUCUGCGCCAACCAUGGUGACCACGGGUAACGGCGAAUCAGGGUUCGAUUCCAGAGAGGGAGCCUGAGAAACGGCUACUACAUCCAAGGAAGGUAGCAGGCGUGCAAAUUACCCACUCCCAACACGGGGAGGUAGUGACGACA